GAUGAACGCUGGCGGCGUGCCUAAUACAUGCAAGUCGAGCGAACGGACGAGAAGCUUGCUUCUCUGAUGUUAGCGGCGGACGGGUGAGUAACACGUGGAUAACCUACCUAGAAGACUGGGAUAACGUCGGGAAACCGGAGCUAAUACCGGAUAAUAUUUUGAACCGCAUGGUUCAAAAGUGAAAGACGGUCUUGCUGUCACUUAUAGAUGGAUCCGCGCUGCAUUAGCUAGUUGGUAAGGUAACGGCUUACCAAGGCAACGAUGCAUAGCCGACCUGAGAGGGUGAUCGGCCACACUGGAACUGAGACACGGUCCAGACUCCUACGGGAGGCAGCAGUAGGGAAUCUUCCGCAAUGGGCGAAAGCCUGACGGAGCAACGCCGCGUGAGUGAUGAAGGUCUUCGGAUCGUAAAACUCUGUUAUUAGGGAAGAACAUAUGUGUAAGUAACUGUGCACAUCUUGACGGUACCUAAUCAGAAAGCCACGGCUAACUACGUG
rnacentral:rRNA from 1 species